AUACGGAGGAUGCGAGCGUUAUCCGGAUUUAUUGGGUUUAAAGGGAGCGUAGGUGGGAUAUUAAGUCAGCUGUGAAAGCUUGGGGCUCAACCUUAAAUUUGCAGUUGAUACUGGUUUACUUGAGUACGGAACAGGUGGGCGGAAUUCGUGGUGUAGCGGUGAAAUGCUUAGAUAUCACGAAGAACUCUGAUCGCGAAGGCAGCUCACCGGGCCGGAACUGACACUGAUGCUCGAAAGUGCGGGUAUCAAACAGGAUUAGAUACCCUGGUAGUCCGCACAGUAAACGAUGAAUACUCGCUGUUUGCGAUACACGGUAAGCGGCCAAGCGAAAGCGUUAAGUAUUCCAUCUGGGGAGUACGCCGGCAACGGUGAAACUUAAAGGAAUUGGCGGGG
rnacentral:rRNA from 1 species